rnacentral:lncRNA from 14 species
GUCCUGUCCAUGAGCAGAGCUCUGUGGCUUCUGGAAGCUUCAAAGGUCAUCAGGAGCAUACAGAAGGGCUAUUUCUGCCAUCCCCUCUCUCCUCUGUUACCCAAGCAUGUCUGACAGAGCUCUUCACUGCUUGCAGAAGAGGUUCACAUAAGGAAGAGUUUUUCCUGGAUGCAGAAAUCUGUGGUUCUUGUGACAUUUUUAGGCACAUCAGCUGGUUCACACAGCCCUUCAGAACAGACCCGAGGCUGCAGCACGUCCAUCAGUGCCUGGGCACUUGCACCAUGGGACCGACAGGCUCUAGGAGUGUGUCAGGACCACGAGAAGCAGAGCAGGGAGGGCAGGGAAGAGCAGUAAAGUGACCUCUUGACUGUACCUCGAGCCCUGCCCUCCUCCAGUACCUGUUUCACCUUGCUGGAUGCUUCCAGGAGAUACCUAGUCCUGUGUGAGCACUGAGCUUUGCCUUUAGAUGAAAGCCAGAGGUGGCUGGAUGCUGCUCACCCAGCCCUGCAAGAGGUAAAUCUGGAAGGGGCAGUAACCCAUUGAACCCUAUGGCUCCGCUGUAUUUCCCAACAGGUAGCUCUGUAUUUUUCUCCUUCUCCUUCUUCU